rnacentral:rRNA from 1 species
AUUGAACGCUGGCGGCAUGCCUUACACAUGCAAGUCGCACGGCAGCGGGGGAGAAGCUUGCUUUUCCUGCCGGCGAGUGGCGAACGGGUGAGUAAUACAUCGGAACGUGCCCUGUAGUGGGGGAUAACUAGUCGAAAGAUUAGCUAAUACCGCAUACGACCUGAGGGUGAAAGUGGGGGACCGCAGGGCCUCAUGCUAUAGGAGCGGCCGAUGUCUGAUUAGCUAGUUGGUGGGGUAAAGGCCUACCAAGGCGACGAUCAGUAGCUGGUCUGGGAGGACGAUCAGCCACACUGGGACUGAGACACGGCCCAGACUCCUACGGGAGGAGGCAGUGGGGAAUUUUGGACAAUGGGCGAAAGCCUGAUCCAGCAAUGCCGCGUGUGUGAAGAAGGCCUUCGGGUUGUAAAGCACUUUUGUCCGGAAAGAAAUGGCUCUGGUUAAUACCUGGGGUCGAUGACGGUACCGGAAGAAUAAGGACCGGCUAACUACGUGCCAGCCGCCGCGGUAA